ACCGAUAGUGAAGCAGUACCGUGAGGGAAAGGUGAAAAGAACCCCGGGAGGGGAGUGAAAUAGAACCUGAAACCGUGUGCCUACAACCGCUCAGAGCCCCUUAUGAGGGUGAUGAGGUGCUUUUUGUAGAACGAGCCAACGAGUUACGGUAUGUAGCAAGGUUAAGUACUUAAGGUACGGAGCCGAAGGGAAACCGAGUCUGAAUAGGGCGACUAGUUGCAUGCCGUAGACCCGAAACCGGGUGACCUAUCCAUGGCCAGGUUGAAGCGAGGGUAAAACCUCGUGGAGGACCGAACCACGUUGCUGUUGAAAAAGCAUGGGAUGAGCUGUGGAUAGCGGAGAAAUUCCAAUCGAACCCGGAGAUAGCUGGUUCUCUCCGAAAUAGCUUUAGGGCUAGCGUCGAGUAUGAGUAGUGGAGGUAGAGCACUGAAUGGGCUAGGGGGCAUAGCGCUUACCGAACCUUAUCAAACUCCGAAUGCCACAUACUUUGAGCUCGGCAGUCAGACUACGAAUGAUAAGAUCCGUGGUCAAAAGGGAAACAGCCCAGAUCGUCAGCUAAGGUCCCAAAGUGUAAGUUAAGUGGGAAAGGAUGUGAGAUUUCUAAGACAACUAGGAUGUUGGCUUAGAAGCAGCCAUUCAUUAAAAGAGUGCGUAAUAGCUCACUAGUCGAGAGAUCUUGCGCCGAAAAUGUAACGGGGCUAAACUUACCACCGAAGCUACGGGCUUGAACAUAGUUCAAGCGGUAGGAGAGCGUCGUAACCGGGCUGAAGUCGUACCGUAAGGAGCGGUGGACUGGUUACGAGUGAGAAUGUUGGCAUCAGUAGCGAGAUGUGGGUGAGAAUCCCACAGGCCGAAAACCUAAGGUUUCCUCAGGAAGGUUCGUCCGCUGAGGGUUAGUCGGGACCUAAGCCGAGGCCGAAAGGCGUAGGUGAUGGACAACUGGUUGAUAUUCCAGUACCACUACCAUCGUUAUUAUCGAUGGCGUGACGCAGGAGGAUAGUGUGUGCUAGCUAUUGGAUGCUAGUCUAAGCGUUUAGGCA
rnacentral:rRNA from 1 species